rnacentral:rRNA from 1 species
UACAGAGGUCUCAAGCGUUGUUCGGAUUCAUUGGGCGUAAAGGGUGCGUAGGCGGCGCGGUAAGUCGGGUGUGAAAUCUCGGAGCUUAACUCCGAAACUGCAUUCGAUACUGCCGUGCUUGAGGACUGGAGAGGAGACUGGAAUUUACGGUGUAGCGGUGAAAUGCGUAGAUAUCGGGAGGAACACCGAUGGCGAAGGCAGCCCCCUGGGUCAAGAUUGACGCUCAUGCACGAAAGCGUGGGGAGCAAACAGGAUUAGAGUACCCCAG